rnacentral:sRNA from 1 species
AGUAAUCUUUAGAGCAGACAAGAAGUUGUGAGGUAAUUAUUGUUUUAUAAUAAAUGCAAAAUAUGGACUCGUGAAAAUCACAAGUAUAUUGAUUUAUGGCAUUGUUUACUUUUAAGGUUGUAAUUUUGUACUAGUUUUGUGUAAGCAUUAUAGUCAUUUUGUGUAUUGAUUGUACCAACAGAAUCUAGUUAUCUUGAGUAUUUUGUCAACAAUGGUCUUAAGUUGGACUAAGAAGUUUAUGGUUGUUAGAUUCUUGAAUAAAGAACACAUUUUGUAAGAUUCCCCUCUGACACGUUAUUGUAACCAAUUGCAAACUAGGGGAAAAGCGAUUGUCAUUAGUAUGAAUUACAAGAAAGCAAAACAUGGAAAAGGUUUUGAGCAUAAUGCUAAUAUAAUUGCAGCAGGAUUUUCCGAGAGUUUGAUGGGCUAAGACUAAAAUCUUUUGUUUUGGUAUAUUGUGAUAAAGAAUUAGAGUUAGAUAUCUUAGAUUCACUCUUG